UUACAUUUCUUCGUGUCUUCAUAACCAUUGAGACAUGGGAGUCCUCAAGGUUCCAAGCCUGCUCUUUCUCAUGCUGCUCCUCAUGGCUCCUCAGCUCCUGGUAAGUUUUGUAUCAAAAUAUCAUUUAAAUCUUUCUCAUGCUGCUCCUCAUGGCUCCUCAGCUCCUGGUAAGUUUUGUAUCAAAAUAUCAUUUAAAUCUUUCUCAUGCUGCUCCUCUUGGCCCCUGGUAAGUUUUGUAUCAAAAUAUCAUUUAAAGAACAAGGAACUUCCUCAAUGCAUCAUCUAUACAUUUGCUAGUCAUAUGUUAAAUUCAUACUCCGUGCCUCUUAUAUCAUCUUGUAUCUUUGUAGAACACUAUAGGAUAUGUUUUCUUUCAUACGUCAUAUUGUGUUCUCUGUUUUGUAGCCUUUGAUGCCAAAACUUGCAAGGAGGCCAGCGAGAGCUAUACCACUAUAAAGUGCCUUGAUGAUGCAUGUGUUAAGGCCUGACAGCUGGAGGGAUUUAUUGAUGGGACCUGUGAGAUGGUCUGGGCAAAACUCGUUUUUCUCAGAUGUUUUUGCAACUUAUGUUGAAACUACCGCAUGAUGAUUCAUGUUUUGCUGAAUAAAAACAUGUUGAAACUACCGCAUGAUGUGUGAUGCAAAAAAUGUGGCUAUGCAAGAUAUUCCUUAUUUUUUGGCAGAAAAUAAAUUUCAAGGAGAACAUU
rnacentral:lncRNA from 1 species